rnacentral:lncRNA from 1 species
UCUGAAACAGCUACCUAGUAAUUGCCAUUAAUUAACAGCAUCAAUUAGUUCGUAUGUAAUCGUUUGUUUUGUUACAAAAGCUUUCUAGAUCGUCAGCUAUUUUUCUGCGUACUAAAGAUCUCCCUCUUUCUCUACUUUCAAUAGGUCGGUAAUUACAAAUCAAUCCCAAAAAUUUUCCUUGAUUUAAUUUGGAAUGAAAUAUUUCUUAUGCACUACAAUGAUCGCCGUCGGAAACAACUGUUCUAUUUAAAUUUAAAUUAAAAAAAAAAAAAAACCUACAACAGUGAUACUCGCAUUACAAAAUAUAUUUUAUUGCAUCACACUUUUUUAUCAUUUAAAAAACUAGUUACAACGCUUGAGACUGGCUCCUGAAGCUCUUGCAAACACACAAACAUAAUCACAUCAAAUUAAACAGGGGGAAGGGAAGAAAACAAACACACACACACAUACAAACACACAAGGGCUUUGCUUUCGUACCAAAUUUAUUAGCAAACCAAAGACACUAUCUUGAAAACAUUUACAGUUAUCACUUAGCCAGAGAUCUCAAUAGCCUUAACUUCAGGUUUCUUCUCCUCCUGUUUAGGAACGGUGACUGUGAGCACACCAUUCUCCAUGCUGGCCUUAACCUGUUCCACCUUAGCAUUGUCGGGCAACCUGAACCUCCUCAGGAACUUGCCACUGCUCCUCUCGACGCGAUGCCACUUGUCAUUCUUCUCUUCCUGCUCCUUGCUCCUCUCUCCGCUUAUCUGCAGAAUCCUGCCCUCUUCAACCUCAACUUUUACUUCUUCUUUCCUCAGCCCUGGAAGAUCAGCUUUGAAUACGUGAGCCUGAGGAGUCUCUUUCCAGUCAAUUCUUGCAUUGGCGAAUUGGGAUGUUUCCCUAGCCGAAGACGGCGCGUUGGUAAGGGCAGAGGACAAGAACCCGUCGAAAGGAUCCCAUACAUCUAAUGAAACUGGAUCGAACACGUUGGUUCUUCGGCCACCGAAGAUGCUUGGAAUGAGUGACAUUAUGGCAAACUGGGACGCUAAUUAAA